rnacentral:tRNA from 1 species
ACAUGGGUGGCUCAGUCGGUUGAGCACCUGACUUCUGCUCAGGUCAUGAUCUCACAGUUCGUGAGUUCAAGUCCCACUUCAGGCU